GUGUUCCUGAUGUCACACUGCCAAGAAAAGCUUCUAGUGAGAAAGUAACUGCCCGUACCGCAAACCGGCACAGGUAGUUGAGGAGAGAAUCCUAAGGUGUGCGAGAGAACUCUCGUUAAGGAACUCGGCAAAAUGACCCCGUAACUUCGGGAGAAGGGGUGCUGACCGCAAGGUCAGCCGCAGUGAAUAGGCCCAAGCGACUGUUUAUCAAAAACACAGGUCUCUGCAAAAUCGAAAGAUGACGUAUAGGGGCUGACGCCUGCCCGGUGCUGGAAGGUUAAGAGGAGAGGUUAGCGCAAGCGAAGCUUUGAAUUGAAGCCCCAGUAAACGGCGGCCGUAACUAUAACGGUCCUAAGGUAGCGUAAUUCCUUGUCGGGUAAGUUCCGACCCGCACGAAAGGCGUAACGAUUUGGGCACUGUCUCAACGAGAGACUCGGUGAAAUUAUAGUACCAGUGAAGAUGCUGGUUACCCGCGACAGGACGGAAAGACCCCAUGGAGCUUUACUGCAGUUUGAUAUUGCGUGUUUGUAUCACAUGUACAGGAUAGGUAGGAGCCGAAGAUACCGGGACGCCAGUCUCGGAGGAGGCAACGGUGGGAUACUACCCUUGUGAUAUGACCACUCUAACCCGCUGCUCUUAGCGAGCAGGGAGACAGUGUCAGACGGGCAGUUUGACUGGGGCGGUCGCCUCCAAAAAUGUAACGGAGGCGCCCAAAGGUUCCCUCAGAAUGGUUGGAAAUCAUUCGUAGAGUGUAAAGGCAGAAGGGAGCUUGACUGCGAGACCUACAAGUCGAGCAGGGACGAAAGUCGGGCUUAGUGAUCCGGUGGUUCCGCAUGGAAGGGCCAUCGCUCAACGGAUAAAAGCUACCCUGGGGAUAACAGGCUUAUCUCCCCCAAGAGUUCACAUCGACGGGGAGGUUUGGCACCUCGAUGUCGGCUCAUCGCAUCCUGGGGCUGUAGUCGGUCCCAAGGGUUGGGCUGUUCGCCCAUUAAAGCGGUACGCGAGCUGGGUUCAGAACGUCGUGAGACAGUUCGGUCCCUAUCCGUCGCGGGCGUUGGAAAUUUGAGAGGAGCUGUCCUUAGUACGAGAGGACCGGGAUGGACACACCGCUGGUGUACCAGUUGUUCUGCCAAGAGCAUCGCUGGGUAGCUAUGUGUGGACGGGAUAAACGCUGAAAGCAUCUAAGCGUGAAGCCCCCCUCAAGAUGAGAUUUCCCAUCACUUUAAGUGAGUAAGACCCCUGAGAGAUGAUCAGGUAGAUAGGUUGGGAGUGGAAGUACAGCGAUGUAUGGAGCGGACCAAUACUAAUCGGUCGAGGACUUAAUCA
rnacentral:rRNA from 1 species